AAAAAGUAAGUUUCUUAGUCACGCUUGUGUUUUGGUUUUGGUUUUGUUUUACUUGCCUCUAUUUUGUUCUUUAUUUUCAUUAAUUUAUGAUCUUUG
rnacentral:ribozyme from 1 species